GACAAGUUUAACAAAUUUACAAAUGAUUAUCUCAUUUUUGUAUUGUUUUCUCUUUUCGCAAUUAUAAAUAUGAUUGAACUAUUGUUAGAGACGGUGAUUUAUCUGUAUUCAUAUGUUAUAUUCUAAUUUACGUGUAAUCCAAUGAUCAUCAUUGCGACUGUUUCGUUCUUCAGAAUCUAAUUCGGGAAAUUUUCCAUUCAACGUUUAAAAAAUAUUCGAAAAAAAAAAAAGGAAUAAAAAAACUUGCCACUUGAAAUCAGGGAUGGCGAUAGCAGAUUCGAGACCCUACGAUCAAAUAUCUUUUACAUCGAAAAUUUUUAAUCAAAGGUAAAUUAUUUUCUUUUAACUGAUUAUUUUAAUAAUUAUCGUUGGAUACAUCAUAAGUAUAUAGUGGAAUUAAUCGAUUCUACACUUUAUUAUAUUCCACGUAAAUUGAAUUUCUUAUAUUGAGUCAUACAACGAUCGAUAAUCAAUUAAAAAGGAAACAUUCGAAUAUAAUUAGUAAGAAAUUUGCAUUCGAUUGUUAUAGUUCCAUUAAUUUCACAAAUAUUAUUAUUUUGAUUAGAGUUAGACCGAAGAUAAGAUAAUAUAACGAAAAACCCCAAUGAGGAACGAGAUGGCGUAGAUAGAAAUGAAUGCAGUUUUAAACGGAAACCAUUGGACCAUGUCAAUAUCGUUAUAGACUAACUGUGAAACCUCUUGGGACAGUUAGAAUAGAGUAAAUUAAUUGCCGUCGUCGUCGUUGUUGUAUGCGUCGUCGUCAUCGUCAUCCUCGUCGUUUGCGUCCUCGGUGCCAGAUUGUCUUCAAUCUUUGAAAUGCUUCUGUGUGUUAGCAAUAUGGAAGAGGUACAUUACAAACACUGCUUGUUCUGACAGAAGCAAGAUUAAUCAACGAUACCAACGAUCCGGUUGUUCCGAGUUGAGCAAGAAUUCAAUUCGACUUGUCUUGUCUUUGUCACUGUCUCUUUCUCUUUCUCUUUCUCCCUCUCUUUCUCCCUCUCUUUCUCUUCCUCUUCUUCCUCAACCUCUACUCACUCACUUCCUCUCUCUCUCUCUCUCUCGUUUACACCUCGCAUUCACACGCAAGGGAGAUAACUCUUCCCACCAACCUUCUAUUUUCUCCUCGACGAAUCCUUUACGAGCUACCAACGAAUUUACUCAGAACUAUCCAACAAUGGCACGCAAAAUUCAAAUUGCUUUGGAGCAAUUUGUUCGGAGUAAAUACAUGAUUGAACGAGUAAGAAGGAGAUUCGUGAAUAAGAAUAUUCAGAGAAUAAUGGUGAAGAAAGAAUGCGUUUGUUUAACGAUGUGGCUUUAGUAGACGAAUCUCUGGUUAAAUAUAUGAAUAAGGGAGAGAGAUUAGUUUCAUGAAAUAUCGUAUGUAAUUUCGACUAGGAAGAUGUCCUUGGUAAGCCUGCCACUUCGUGUUACAACUUAAUGAGAUCUCUCCAAAGGAAGCACCUGUCUUUUUCAUUUCGCGACAAUGUAUAUAUAUGAAUAUACAUAUCCAUAUACAUAGACGAUGCAAUUACGAGGAUGAGAAGAAAGUAGAGAAUAACGAGCAACUUUUUCCACCACACAUACAACGUCAGGAAAUUACUAUUAGUAUUAUUAUUAUGAUUUUGAAAGCAUGUAGAAAAUUUAUGAAACUAUUUCGUACGAUAGGCGAGUAUCAAAGGACAAACGAAUUUUCUCUUAACUCUUUAAUCGACAUUUUGAUUAUCGAUUCCCGUGUUAUCUCUCUUAAUGAUCGUUAGUCAACGUGUACGUACAUAUGUACGUUGAUCGAUCGAAGUAACGAAGCAUGGCAUUUAGAGUUCGUUAAAAUUUAACGAUUCCAAUGUGUGGAAUGAUAGGGAACUUUCAUAAGUCAUUUUUCAUACCUCGUUUUACUUUAUGUUGACAAGGACAUUUUGCUUAGCUAUAAUAAACGCUGUAAUAAAUAAUACUUUUGAUUAUUUUAUAAUUAUUCAAAUAAUCUAUAAGUACACGGA